CAGUCGUACGCUUCUUUUUCCCCGGAGCUUGCUCCACCGGAAAAAGAAGAGUGGCGAACGGGUGAGUAACACGUGGGUAACCUGCCCAUCAGAAGGGGAUAACACUUGGAAACAGGUGCUAAUACCGUAUAACAAUCGAAACCGCAUGGUUUUGAUUUGAAAGGCGCUUUCGGGUGUCGCUGAUGGAUGGACCCGCGGUGCAUUAGCUAGUUGGUGAGGUAACGGCUCACCAAGGCCACGAUGCAUAGCCGACCUGAGAGGGUGAUCGGCCACAUUGGGACUGAGACACGGCCCAAACUCCUACGGGAGGCAGCAGUAGGGAAUCUUCGGCAAUGGACGAAAGUCUGACCGAGCAACGCCGCGUGAGUGAAGAAGGUUUUCGGAUCGUAAAACUCUGUUGUUAGAGAAGAACAAGGAUGAGAGUAACUGUUCAUCCCUUGACGGUAUCUAACCAGAAAGCCACGGCUAACUACGUGCCAGCAGCCGCGGUAAUACGUAGGUGGCAAGCGUUGUCCGGAUUUAUUGGGCGUAAAGCGAGCGCAGGCGGUUUCUUAAGUCUGAUGUGAAAGCCCCCGGCUCAACCGGGGAGGGUCAUUGGAAACUGGGAGACUUGAGUGCAGAAGAGGAGAGUGGAAUUCCAUGUGUAGCGGUGAAAUGCGUAGAUAUAUGGAGGAACACCAGUGGCGAAGGCGGCUCUCUGGUCUGUAACUGACGCUGAGGCUCGAAAGCGUGGGGAGCAAACAGGAUUAGAUACCCUGGUAGUCCACGCCGUAAACGAUGAGUGCUAAGUGUUGGAGGGUUUCCGCCCUUCAGUGCUGCAGCUAACGCAUUAAGCACUCCGCCUGGGGAGUACGACCGCAAGGUUGAAACUCAAAGGAAUUGACGGGGGCCCGCACAAGCGGUGGAGCAUGUGGUUUAAUUCGAAGCAACGCGAAGAACCUUACCAGGUCUUGACAUCCUUUGACCACUCUAGAGAUAGAGCUUCCCCUUCGGGGGCAAAGUGACAGGUGGUGCAUGGUUGUCGUCAGCUCGUGUCGUGAGAUGUUGGGUUAAGUCCCGCAACGAGCGCAACCCUUAUUGUUAGUUGCCAUCAUUCAGUUGGG
rnacentral:rRNA from 1 species